rnacentral:piRNA from 1 species
UUGCCCUCAUACCUUGUAAUAAUCUC